GCCAGACUCCUACGGGAGGCAGCAGUGGGGAAUAUUGCACAAUGGGGGGAACCUUGAUGCAGCAACGCCGCGUGGGUGAAGAAGUACUCCGGUAUGUAAAGCUCUCUCAGCAGGGAAGAAAAUGACGGUACCUGACUAAGAAGCCCCGGCUAACUACGUGCCAGCAGCCGCGGUAAUACGUAGGGGGCAAGCGUUAUCCGGAUUUACUGGGUGUAAAGGGAGCGUAGGCGGCAAGGUAAGCCAGAAGUGAAAGCCCGCGGCUCAACUGCGGGACUGCUUUUGGAACUAUCUAGCUAGAUUGCAGGAGAGGUAAGUGGAAUUCCUAGUGUAGCGGUGAAAUGCGUAGAUAUGAGGAGGAACACCAGUGGCGAAGGCGGCUUACUGGACUGUAAAUGACGCUGAGGCUCGAAAGCGUGGGGAGCAAACAGGAUUAGAUACCCUCGUAU
rnacentral:rRNA from 1 species